GAUGAACGCUGGCGGCGUGCUUAACACAUGCAAGUCGAACGAAGCACUUCUACUGAUCCCUUCGGGGUGACGUAAUUUUUAACUUAGUGGCGGACGGGUGAGUAACGCGUGAGCAACCUGCCUUUCAGAGGGGGACAACAGUUGGAAACGACUGCUAAUACCGCAUGAUAUACCGAGAAGGCAUCUUCAUGGUAUCAAAGAUUUAUCGCUGAAAGAUGGUCUCGCGUCUGAUUAGCUAGAUGGCGGGGUAACGGCCCACCAUGGCGACGAUCAGUAGCCGGUCUGAGAGAAUGAACGGCCACAUUGGGACUGAGAUACGGCCCAGACUCCUACGGGAGGCAGCAGUGGGGAAUAUUGGGCAAUGGGGGAAACCCUGACCCAGCAACGCCGCGUGAAGGAAGAAGGCCUUCGGGUUGUAAACUUCUUUUACCAGGGACGAAGAACGUGACGGUACCUGGAGAAAAAGCAACGGCUAACUACGUG
rnacentral:rRNA from 1 species